rnacentral:lncRNA from 1 species
AUCAGUGGUACAGUCAGGAGCCACACCAGGCAGCUGGACUCCAGAACCGUGCUCCCUCUGGUGCCGGACGAGAUGCCGUGCAGCGCAGUGACGCUGGGGUUUACUGUCGUCGGGGGCCAGGUCGAAGGCACGCUGCCAGGAGGAACGAGCCUUCCUCACGUGAGGCUAGACUACGUUUUCUACAGAAAGCCAGAAGUUUGGGAACUGAGAGGCACAGACAUAGAUGAGAUGCGGGGAGCGCAUUUGAAGACAUCUACAUCCCAUCAGAUGAGAGAGCCCUCAUCCAUCAUAAUCCGUGUUCCCUGGAAGGAGGCGUGUCCAGCAUUUCCUAUUCCAGCCAGGCCCCUUGUCAGCGUGUGAGACAUUGUCAAGAAUGCCCCCCACUCCUUGGAAGGAGAGUCUUUGGUAGUCUGGCCUGAAGGCUCUGGACUGAGUGAGACAAAUAGGUUGCUAAUAAUGUCUGUAAACUCUGGACCCCAUUUCCCGACAUUAAAAACUUCAUCUAAAAAGUCUGAGUGAUAUUUACAAAUAGGAGCCUGCCCCCUUGUCCCCAGCUCUUUUUAGUCUGUGACAAAUAGGUCGUUGUACACAGUGAGGACACAUGGGACUGUGCACCUUCCUCUGCCGCAUUCCUCGAUCUGCCAGCCUUUCGCUGUCCCUCCACACCCCUGCUCGUCUAGAAGCACACACUGCACCACAGACCUGUGUGCGCCCGUGUGCACCCACGUGCACACACCGAAGGCUCAAAGGUGGGAAGUCACCAAAGCAGACAGCGGAACCAGGUCUUA